UACGUAGGGGGCAAGCGUUGUCCGGAAUCAUUGGGCGUAAAGAGCGUGUAGGCGGCCAGAUAAGUCCGCUGUGAAAUCUCGAGGCUCAACUUCGAGCUGUCGGUGGAAACUGUCUGGCUAGAGUCCGGAAGAGGAGAAUGGAAUUCCAGGUGUAGCGGUGAAAUGCGUAGAUAUCUGGAGGAACACCGGUGGCGAAGGCGGCGUCCUGGACCAACACUGACACUGAUGAGCGAAAGCCAGGGGAGCAAACGGG
rnacentral:rRNA from 1 species